rnacentral:rRNA from 1 species
AACAUGAUGACUCUCGACAACGGAUAUCUCGGCUCUCGCAUCGAUGAAGAACGCAGCGAAAUGCGAUACUUGGUGUGAAUUGCAGAAUCCCGCGAAUCAUCGAGUCUUUGAACGCAAGUUGCGCCUGAGGCCAUUAGGCUAAGGGCAUGUCUG